rnacentral:lncRNA from 8 species
GUGUUCUAGAAUACAUCUCGUUGCUAUGAAACCAAUGCAUUUAGCAUUUAUUCUAAUUAGAAAUAAAUACAGUAGCCAUGUGUAGCUAUGCUAAAAUGUUAGAAAAGACAGGUCAUGUUUCUUGUCAGAUACAUUUGGAAUAGAUGUAAUGGUUGGCCCAUUGUGCAAAUUAAGAAAUUAGUCAGCGGUCUAAGGAAAAUGACGAAUGAGGCACCUCAUUCUUCAAUCACAAGUAGGCCUAGAAGAUUCAGUUCAGGUCCCAACAACCCUUGAACCCAACAACCCGUGCAUAGGUUACAGCAGCCGUUUAAUGGUGCUGGUCGGCAGUAGAGCAGCCAGGCAACUUGAAGGAUGUGGAGUAAUGCAGCCGAAUGGACUCGGAGCCCAGGAGAAUCCAGGAAAUCUGCAAACAGGAUAAUAAUGUUUCGACUACUAGUUUUAUACUGACUCGGUGCAGCUAUGGGAAUGUGUGGAGGUCACAGACCGACUUGGUGGACCAGAGGAGACAUGAGGACAGUAGCCGAGGACCCGGAGAUGGAUACGUCCCUAGAUAAUGAAGUGUUGGCUGUACUCAGCAAGGAUCUCAAAACUCCCACAGCUUGCCAAGUAGAAACUAAACAGUCACCAACACAUUUUUGACAUGAGCACAAGGGCAUCCUGCUCGGAUUCGUCAGGGGAGCUCCUGGAAAGUGAGCUGGACUCUAUUACCUUGGCAUGGAGGAUGGCUGACUUUCUGGAGGAGGAGGAGGCUGUGUUCUCCGUGAUCCAGGAGAGCUUAAAGAUUGAUGUGGGCCCUCACCUGCCCUUCAAAAAGGCUGCGAAGGAGCGGGCGGAGCAAAGAAUAACCAGUUUUCAACUUAACAAGAUAAGUCUACUCACAAGGUCACCACCCCUUUGUUACAUGAAAUGUAGUAUAUCAUUUAAGGUGCUGAAAGUUAUUUCGUAUCCACUGAUAAAAGUAUUAAUACAAACGGACAUCUUAAUCUGCUGGACUCUAUUGACAUUCAACCUCAUAGGUUCUGUUAAAAGUAUCAAGUGUUAA